AAUGAUCGAUGCUAUCCGCAGGAGGUAGAACGCUUCCGUACCAGACUUUCAGCUUGAUUGGGGAGGUUAUGAAUAAUUCAUGCAGUAGGAAGCUAUGAAAGAAAAUUCUAUGGGCAUGGGAAUUUUGUGCACAUUUCUUCGCUGACUUCUGGAGAGCGGAAGCCCGAGCGAGGAGUAGGGUGAAAGGCAAGGCUGCUCGAGGGUAUGCCACGGGGAACUUGGUCAACGAAGGAAAAGAAAGUGUAGGAGGAAGUCAUUAAGAGAAGAUAAUGGAGCAAGGAGUGGCCAAUGAGUGGGCAGCAUCAGUGGAGAGCACAGAAUCUGAAUAAGCUCCCUCCUAGCACCAGAAAUGGGCUCAGGAGAGACUCAAUUCCAGUGAGGACCCAAGUGACAGCCACUCUGACAGUGAUGAGGAGCAAGAACAGUGGAUGGAGAAAACAGGAGGUAGAAAAACUGUCACUCUUCAGUCAUAUUUGCCAGCUGUGAAGAAAUCAACUUUUGCAGGUAGAUUUGUCCCUGGUACUUCGUAACGUCUUAACCCUAAAAGAGCUUGGUUACAUUGGACCACCUCACAGCCCCUGGCAAUCCCCCAAGAAUUAGGCUGUCCAGUGCUGGAUUUUUUUUACAAACUUUGUAUGCAUGACUUUCCUUCUCAAUACAAGUAUUGAAGUUUUAUCUCAAUCUGUCAUAUGGUUUGAUAGUCACUUGGAAGUUUGGAAUGGCAGCGGAAAAGUAUACAUUCUUGGUUGACCUCUCAGAAAGGAAGGAGCUGUGCGAGAACAGUAUGUUGGAUUUUCACAAAAAUGGUGUCAGAAUGACCAAAAAGGAGUUGUUAAAAAACUCCAGAAGGUUUCUGGAAACUAUGCACCAUGAUAAUAUUGGAAAAUAUGUUAAAGGGAGGUACAUGUAGAUUCCCUCUCCUCUCCCCCAGCUCUUUGGGAUAAAUUUCACAGGUUCUUCAAGAAAUUCCCACUCACACAGCCAGAGUUUUCACAAUUCGUUAAGUUGAGAAAACAGUCAGGAGGUAC